rnacentral:rRNA from 1 species
UGGGGAAUAUUGGACAAUGGGCGAAAGCCUGAUCCAGCCAUGCCGCGUGAGUGAUGAAGGCCCUAGGGUUGUAAAGCUCUUUUGUGCGGGAAGAUAAUGACGGUACCGCAAGAAUAAGCCCCGGCUAACUUCGUGCCAGCAGCCGCGGUAAUACGAAGGGGGCUAGCGUUGCUCGGAAUCACUGGGCGUAAAGGGUGCGUAGGCGGGUUUCUAAGUCAGAGGUGAAAGCCUGGUGUUCAACUCCAGAACUGCCUUUGAUACUGGAAGUCUUGAGUUCGGGAGAGGUGAGUGGAACUGCGAGUGUAGAGGUGAAAUUCGUAGAUAUUCGCAAGAACACCAGUGGCGAAGGCGGCUCACUGGCCCGAUACUGACGCUGAGGCACGAAAGCGUGGGGAGCAAACA